UACGGAGGGGACUAGCGUUGUUCGGAAUUACUGGGCGUAAAGCGCACGUAGGCGGAUUUGUAAGUCAGGGGUGAAAUCCCGGGGCUCAACCUCGGAACUGCCUUUGAUACUGCAAAUCUCGAGUCCGGAAGAGGUGAGUGGAAUUCCUAGUGUAGAGGUGAAAUUCGUAGAUACUAGGAAGAACACCAGUGGCGAAGGCGGCUCACUGGUCCGGUACUGACGCUGAGGUGCGAAAGCGUGGGGAGCAAACAGG
rnacentral:rRNA from 1 species